AGGGUUGUCUUAGUAUGGAUAGGAGGGAUGAACUAAGUUACUUCUUUUGCUAAGACAAGGUAACGAGUUGAGUGCGAAGAACAUUGGUACUAUGGUCCAUACUGAGCAAUAUGGGAGUGACUUAAUUGAACUCAGGGGUAUAAUCGACAAUUUAUACCACAACGUCAAGUCAAAACCGUUGUUUGUAGCACUGGUGGGUUCUUUGAUAAAGAGUGGUUUUCGAAGCUUCUUAAGGUUUCAGGUUCAGACUUUGUUGAUGCAAUGACACUCCAUUUGUAUAAUAUGGGACCAGAUCUGACAGAAUCAUGGAGUUCGGGGGACGAAAGUGAGGCAGGAAAGAUGGCGGUUCUGGAGCCUGCUCAGGCGUUGCAGAAUCUGCCUGUGCCGCCGCUUCAGCAGGCGAAGAAAAGUCGACGUGGACCGAGGUCUCGAGGCUCACAGUAUCACGGUGUGACGUUUUAUCGGCGUACUGGUCGUUGGGAAUCACAUACCUGGGAUUGUUGAAAACAAGUAUAUUUAGGUGGAUUUGAUACUGCCCUUGCUGCAGCUAGGUUAGAGUUUUGUUUGAAAAAAAAUUGUAACUCGAUAUAUUUCUUGGAACCUUGAAGCAAAUAACUUUUCGGGAACUGUUCCAUCUGAUUUGGGGAGAUUAAUAAAUUUACACACAUUGAUUUUGUCCUCAAACCGGUUGACGGGAACGUUGCCAGCAUCCCUUGCUGAAUUGAGCAAUUUAAAAGAUUUGAUAAUUGACAACAAUCUUAGUGGGUCCAUACCUAAUUUCAUAGAGAAUUGGAGACAACUCAAUAAACUAGAACUAAUUGGGACGGGGCUUUCGGGACUGAUUCCUUCAUCCAUUUCUUUCUGAACUUAACUAACGUGAGAACUUGUGAACUAAGUGGACCAACUCAGAGAUUCCCUCCGUUAGAUAAUGUUGUUGGUUUACUAACACUGAUGUAGAAGGUUUUGUAUUUCAAAUUGUCGUUGUAAUCUAAUAUAUUCGUUUGUGUUUUAACGUGUAUAAAAUCAUAAUAUUUACGUCAAUGCUGAUAAUGAAGAUAUUUUCUUUUA